rnacentral:rRNA from 1 species
CUACGGGAGGCAGCAGUGGGGAAUAUUGGACAAUGGGCGAAAGCCUGAUCCAGCCAUGCCGCGUGUGUGAAGAAGGCCUUCGGGUUGUAAAGCACUUUCAGUGGGGAAGAAAGCCUUGGGGCUAAUACCCUCGAGGAAGGACAUCACCCACAGAAGAAGCACCGGCUAACUCCGUGCCAGCAGCCGCGGUAAUACGGAGGGUGCGAGCGUUAAUCGGAAUUACUGGGCGUAAAGCGCGCGUAGGCGGUCUGAUAAGCCGGUUGUGAAAGCCCCGGGCUCAACCUGGGAACGGCAUCCGGAACUGUCAGGCUAGAGUGCAGGAGAGGAAGGUAGAAGUCCCGGUGUAGCGGUGAAAUGCGUAGAGAUCGGGAGGAAUACCAGUGGCGAAGGCGGCCUUCUGGACUGACACUGACGCUGAGGUGCGAAAGCGUGGGUAGCAAACAGGAUUAGAUACCCGAGUAGUC